UACGGGGGAUGCAAGCGUUGUCCGGAAUCAUUGGGCGUAAAGAGUUCGUAGGUGGCACGUUAAGUCUGGUGUUAAAUGCAGGGGCUCAACCUCUGUUCGGCACUGGAUACUGGCGAGCUUGAAUGCGGUAGAGGUAAAGGGAAUUCCUGGUGUAGCGGUGAAAUGCGUAGAUAUCAGGAGGAACAUCGGUGGCGUAAGCGCUUUACUGGGCCGUAAUUGACACUGAGGAACGAAAGCCAGGGUAGCAAAUGGG
rnacentral:rRNA from 1 species